rnacentral:rRNA from 1 species
GUGGGGAAUCUUAGACAAUGGGGGCAACCCUGAUCUAGCCAUGCCGCGUGAUCGAUGAAGGCCUUAGGGUUGUAAAGAUCUUUCAGCUGGGAAGAUAAUGACGGUACCAGCAGAAGAAGCCCCGGCUAACUCCGUGCCAGCAGCCGCGGUAAUACGGAGGGGGCUAGCGUUGUUCGGAAUUACUGGGCGUAAAGCGCACGUAGGCGGAUUGGAAAGUUGGGGGUGAAAUCCCGGGGCUCAACCCCGGAACUGCCUUCAAAACUCCCAGUCUUGAGGUCGAGCGAGGUGAGUGGAAUUCCGAGUGUAGAGGUGAAAUUCGUAGAUAUUCGGAGGAACACCAGUGGCGAAGGCGGCUCACUGGCUCGAUACUGACGCUGAGGUGCGAAAGCGUGGGGAGCAAACAGGAUUAGAAACCCCAGUAGUCC